UUUCCGUAGGUGAACCUGCGGAAGGAUCAUUAUUGUAUAACCGAGGUGCUAGGACUGUCGCGGACCUGAAAGCUCGUGCACACCCGAGUGCCCUCACACACAGUCAUCUCACCCCUAUGUGCACCUCCGCGUGGAUCCCCCUUUGGCUUGUUCGGAGGGGGGCUUACGUUUUCACACAUACUUUUUCUGCAGUGUAGACUGUGUUUUUUGUUUUUGCGAUCACGCAAUCAAUACAACUUUCAACAACGGAUCUCUUGGCUCUC
rnacentral:misc_RNA from 1 species